rnacentral:rRNA from 1 species
GACGAACGCUGGCGGCGUGCCUAAUACAUGCAAGUAGAACGCUGAAGGAGGAGCUUGCUUCUCUGGAUGAGUUGCGAACGGGUGAGUAACGCGUAGGUAACCUGCCUGGUAGCGGGGGAUAACUAUUGGAAACGAUAGCUAAUACCGCAUAAUAUUGACUAUUGCAUGAUAGUCAGUUGAAAGGUGCAACUGCACCACUACCAGAUGGACCUGCGUUGUAUUAGCUAGUUGGUGGGGUAACGGCUCACCAAGGCGACGAUACAUAGCCGACCUGAGAGGGUGAUCGGCCACACUGGGACUGAGACACGGCCCAGACUCCUACGGGAGGCAGCAGUAGGGAAUCUUCGGCAAUAGACGGAAGUCUGACCGAGCAACGCCGCGUGAGUGAAGAAGGUUUUCGGAUCGUAAAGCUCUGCUGUAAGAGAAGAACGAGUGUGAGAGUGGAAAGCUCACACUGUGACGGUAUCUUACCAGAAAGGGACGGCUAACUACGUG